rnacentral:rRNA from 1 species
AGAUUGAACGCUGGCGGCAUGCCUAACACAUGCAAGUCGAACGGGAGUAGCAAUACUCUAGUGGCGGACGGGUGAGGAAUACGUAGGAAUUUGCCCUUAAGUGGGGGA